rnacentral:rRNA from 1 species
GACGAACGCUGGCGGCGUGCUUAACACAUGCAAGUCGAACGGAAAGGCCCCUUUGGGGGUACUCGAGUGGCGAACGGGUGAGUAACACGUGAGUAACCUGCCCUUGACUUCGGGAUAACUUCAGGAAACUGGGGCUAAUACCGGAUAGGAAUCCUUGCUGCAUGGUGGGGGUUGGAAAGCUUCGGCGGUUUUGGAUGGACUCGCGGCUUAUCAGCUUGUUGGUGGGGUAGUGGCUUACCAAGGCUUUGACGGGUAGCCGGCCUGAGAGGGCGACCGGCCACAUUGGGACUGAGAUACGGCAGACUCCUACGGGAGGCAGCAGUGGGGAAUAUUGCACAAUGGGCGGAAGCCUGAUGCAGCAACGCCGCGUGCGGGAUGACGGCCUUCGGGUUGUAAACCGCUUUCAGCAGGGGCGAAGCUUGUGGUGACGGUACCUGCAGAAGAAGCACCGGCUAACUACGUG